GAGCCAAAACUUUACAAUAAUAAUAAGAGUAAUUUGCGGCGUAAAUACUUAAGUUUUAUGUUGUGUAACAGAUAAGUACCUAAGUCAUAUUUUUGGCGGUAAAAAUACCUUCCGUCACACUUCUGGAACUUCUGUAGAUACCUCACUGUUAAAUGCCAAAUCAGUACUUGCAUGUCACUAUCUGAUUGGUCCACAUGGAUUUUUUUAAUUUUAUAUUUUAAAAAAUCAUUUAAAAUUAUUGCAAAGUUAAAAAAGUAAAAGAAAAAAAAAAGAAUCUUCUUCCUCUUCCAUUUUCUUCUUCGACCUGCACCUCUUUUUCCAUCAAUGGCAAGAUAUCACACUAUCAAAGACAAAACCCAAAAUCACUCAAAACUAAUCAAUACCUUUAUUUCUUUUUUCAUUUUUAUUUUCCUGUUAUAUAUCUCCUCUCUUUUUCUCUUCUCUCUCUGGUUCUCACUGCUCAAAGUCAGACGGAGCAUCUCCGGCCUUCUAUGGCCUAAACAAACCCCACCACGAGAUUCCCAACCCUUGAAAACUCCAAGAUCUGGGUUUCCUGUACUUUCUCACUCUCCCCUCGCGGUAUCCCUUUCUCUCUAUAUCUUCGUCAGCUUCAAUGACUCUCCACCGUCGAGCUUCAGUCAUAAAAACACGCCAUUGCAGUCUUUCUACUAUCACUCUGCAUCGACUGAGGGUUCCAAGUCAAUCCAAGAUUGAGAAGAAGAUACUGUUAAAAAAAAGAAAAAAGAAAAAAUGGAGAAGAAAAUAAGGAUGGGAUAGUGUAAUUUUAGUGCCAAAAUAUAUUAUGGUGUGAUGAGGUUUAGUCCCAAAAUAUUUUUCAAAUUUGUGCGUAAGUUUUAUUUUAGGCUCAUUCUAAUUUUUUGAAUUUGUUUUAUGAUUGUGUUUACUGUUCAUACUUAUUUUUUGGGAUUUUGUUGAUUGUUCAAGAGAGUGUAAAAGAAAAAGAGAGAAAAAAAAAAAAACAGAUUGGUAAGAUGAGGAUUUGAUCUGUUUAAUGAUUUUGAAUUUUUGUAUUAUGAUAUGAUUAUAAUGGGAAAAUGAGAUUGAGAUUGAACGAGAUGAAGUCGAGAGGAAAGAGAGAGAUUGGAGAAGAGAAAGGGGAAAAUAUAUGUUUAUUUUUUAAUUAUUUUUUUUUAAAUUUUUAAAUAUAUUAUUUUUUAAUUUUUAAAAAUUGUUAGAAAAAAAAAUAAAAAUUAAAUGACAUGGACCUAUCAGGGGUUGCCACGUAGGUACUGAUUUGGCAGUUAACGGAGAGGUACCUACGGAAGUUCCAAGAGUGUAACGGAAGGUAUUUUUACCGUCAAAAAUGCAACUUAGGUAUUUAUCUGCUACACCACAUAAAAUUUAGGUAUUUAUGCCGCAAAUUACUCUAAUAAUAAUAAAUAAAUAAAUAAAUAAAUAAAAUAAAAUAACAGAGCCAAAAUUAUCCAUAAUAAACAGAACCCGGCCCCACCAACUCUAAACUAACAUUCACUAAUUAAUGAAAUGUUCAAAUAUUAAGACAUCUCAACAUUUGUCUUUGGAUCUUUAAUUUACACACUUGAAGAUCCUUGAGUUGUGCAUUCAUGGUCUCCAAAUCUUUGGUUAUUUUUCUUAUUUCCUUUUGGCAAUUCUUCCAACAUCUCUCUUUCUCCAAGCUUCGAUUAUUUGCUCUAACAAAUGCAUGAGCCUUGGUAUUACUACUACUUGCCAUUGACCUUGUCAUACUCACUUGCUCUAGAAGAAUAAAUCUAGUUGCGGUCUUCAAUGGCAAACGGUUGUUCUUAAUAACAUGUUCUCGAACAUCUUGUGAUAAUCUAUGGUAUUCCAAGAAUCUGCAUAAACUAGUUCUUUCAUCUUCUGUUAAGCCAGGAUGUGC